GGAGGGGAGUGCGCUAGGGAAAGAAAGAUGGAGAAUGGUAGAGAGUGAGCCGUUUUCUCUCGGAGUUUCGAGGGCUCUUCUGCUCUCCGUUCCCUUGUGGGAGCGCUGAACCCUUGAGCACCCUCGGGGACAGGAAGAAGGCGGUGGGAGAGCAGCAUUUGUCCUCGGCGCUGGAGCAGUGGACAGAUCUCAGAUCCCGGCUCCCGGCUCCUGGAUCCAGGCUCCAGGAUUUUGGGGCGCCGUUCACCGCCAAGGAGUGCACCAGUUCUCCAAGACCACAGGCAGAGCAGUUGUCAUACCAUGUCGUGAUGAGUCUGGAUAGGAUCUUUCGGUGGUGCAUCAAUGAAAACUGGCUCCAUCACAGUCACAAGCCUCCCCACCAGUGAGGACAUCCAUCAUUAAGGACCACGGGAGAACUGUCCGUGUGUGUGCAGAUGGCAGGGCAGAAGGGAGGAAAGUCUUUCUGUUGUUUUGUUGCUUGUGUUCAUUUGUUCUGUUUUGUUACACUCUCUGUUCUACUGAACAUUGUAGGCCUGUAAUGUUGGCACCAGAACAUGUGGUGACACUUAGCUGUCCCAGCACAUCUUUAGAUGUAACACACGAAAUGCUGGAGGAUCUCAGCAUCUACGGAAAUGAAUAAAGUGCCGAUGUUUCAGGCCGAGACCAUUCCUUGGCCUGGGAAAAGAAGGGGGAAGACACCAGAAUAAGAAGGAGGGAGGAGGGGAAAGAGGACAAACUAGAAAUGAUUGGUGGGUAGAAAAGGAAAGGGCUGGAGAAGAAGGUAUCUGAGAAGAGAGAAGAGUGGACCGUGGAAAAAAGGGAAGAAGGAGAGGCACCAGGGGAAGGUGAUAGUCAGGUGAGGGAAAGAGUGGGGAAUAGAAGAGGGAAGGGCAAGGGAAAGGUUUUGUUAUAUCAGAAGGAGAGAUCAAUGUUCAUGCUACCAAGUUGGAGGCUACCCAGACGGAUCUGAAGUUUUGCUCCUCCGCCCUGAGAGUGGCCUUAUUGUGGCAAAAGAUAAAGCCCUGGACAGACAUGUUGAAACAAGAAUGGGGUUAGGAAUUAAAAUGAUGGGCCACUGGGAAAUUCCUCUGGGCAGAUAGAGUGGAUGUACUCAACAAAGCAAUCCUUUGUGUCAAGAACCAACGCAUCCUUAGGUUGUUAACACAAAUGACACAUUUCACUCACUGCAUGUCAACAUGUACAGGAACAUUAAAAUAUGAAUCUGAAUCUGACCCUCGCCAUCCAGGACUUGCCCUUUUCUCAAUACUACCAUCAGGGAGGAGGUACAGGAGCCUGAAGACGCACACUUUAGGAACAGCUUAUUCCCCUCCACCAUCAGAUUUCUGAACUUGGUGGGUAAUAAGUGGGGAACAAUGCAGACAGGGGUUCCAGAGCUGUGGAAGGAGAGAGACAGAGAUGGAAAAGGUAGGGAGGGAGGGAAAAGAACCCGAGGAUGAUAUACAAGGCAGAGGGAGAUAGGCUCCCAGAUGGGAAGAGCAGUGAAAGGGACAGAGAGGCACGUCCUGUCCCUAAUAGAGUGGCCACUGAGUGUUUGUUUGGCAUCUCCUGCAGCUGUAGCCCAUCCACUUCAAGGUCUGAAAUUUUAUGCAUCCAGAGGUGCCCCUCUGCACACCACUGUAACAUAUAGUUAUCUGAGUUUUUGAGUUCCCGUUGCCUUGCUGUCAGCUUGAGCCAGACUGGCCGUUCUCCUCUGACCUCUCUCAUUAACAGGUAUUUUCACCCACAAAACUGCUGUGCACUGGAUUUUGUUUUUUGCACUAUUCUCUGUAAACUCCAGAGACCGUUGUGUGUUGAAAUACCAGGAGAUCAGCAGUUUCUGAGAUACUCAAACCACCCUGUCUGGCACCACCAGUCAUCUCAUGGUCAAAGUCACUUAGAUCACAUUUCUUCCCCAUUGUGAUGUUUGGUCUGAAAACAAAUGAAUCUCUGACCACGUCUGCAUGUUUUUUAUGAAUUAAGUUGCUGCCUGAAGAUUGGCUGAUUAGGUACUUGCAUUGAUGAGUAGGCAUACCUAAUAAAGUGGCCACUGAGUGUAUUUGUCUUCUUAUGCGCAGUAGUUCUUUGUUGAUCUUUAUAUAUAAUAUACAAAUAUAGAUUUUUGUAAAUUCUGUUGUAUUUCUAUAUUUUUCUAUAAAUGCCUACAAGAAAAUGAGUAUGAUGUCCAUAUAUGAUUAUAUAUGAUAAAUAUAGAUGAUAAAGAUUAUAUGAUAAAGAUUAAAGCAACCUGGUCCUAAUGAGAGAUCUUGGCCUGAAGUAUCAACUGUUUACUCCCUAGAUGCUGCCUGUCCUGCUGAGUUUUUCCGGAAUUUUGUAUUUGUAACUCAGGAUUUCCUACAUCUGCAAAAUCUCUUAUGUUGAAGAUAAAGAUUAGAUUUGUUUGUUACAUGUACAGUACUUCGAAAUACAGAAUGAAAUGCAUCAUUUCCUGCAAAUCAAAUCAACAAGGACUGUGCUGGGCAGCCUGCACAUGGCGCCACACUUCCAACACCUACAUAGCAUCCUACAGCUUACUAACCCUAAACAUACGUCUUUUGGAUGAUGGGAGGAAAUCAGAGCAGCUAGAGGAAGCCCACAGUCACAGGGAGAAUGUACAAACUCCUUAUCCUUACAGACAGCGACAGAACUGGAACCUGAUCUUAUGGCUGGCACUGUACAGCGUUAUGCUACCAAUCAACUGAACUUAGAUAAUAAAUUUUACUUUGACUUUGACUUUCAAUGACCCUCUGACGCAUACUGCAUUCUCAGUGCCUCCCUUGCUUCUCUGUACCUCCCUCACCUACUGUACCCUCUGGGUAUCACUGGAUCCCCUGUACCCACCAUCUCACAUGGCUUGAGCAGUUUGCUCCUUUUGAAAUCUCAUUUUAAGUUCAAGUUUAUUGUCAUUUCAACCAUACAUACGUAUACCACCAAACGACAACAUUCCUCCGGACCAAGGUGCACAACAUGUAUAGCACACAUAACUUACACACAACACGUACAGCACACAUAACUCACAACAUGUACAGUACAUAUAACUCACAACACAUACAGCACAUAUAACUCACACACAACAUACAUAUAAUUCACACACAACGUGUACAGCACAUAUAACACACACAACAUGUACAACACAUAACUCACGCAACACGUACAGUACAUAUAUCUCACACACAACACGAACAUUACAUAUAUCUCACACAACACGAACAGUACAUAUAACUCACACACAACACAAACAGUAUGCAUAACUCACACACAACAUGUACAGUACACAUAACUCACAACACAUACAGUACAUAACUCACACAUGUACAGUACAUAUACCUCACACACAUGUAGAGUAUGCAUAACACAUGUGUGCAGUACAUAACUCACACAACACAUACGGUACAUAUAAAUCACACACAACAGGUGCAGUACACAUAACACAACACGUACAGUACAUAUAACACACACAACACAUAACUCACACACAACACGUACAGUACAUAACUCACACAUGUACAGUACAUAUACCUCACAAAACAUGUACAGUAUGCAUAACACACAUGUGCAGUACAUAACUCACACAACACAUACAGUACAUAUAAAUCACACACAACACGUAUAGCACACAUAACUUACACACAACACGUACAGCACACAUAACUCACAACAUGUACAGUACAUAUAACUCACAACAUACAGCACAUAUAACUCACACACAACAUACAUAUAAUUCACACACAACGUGUACAGCACAUAUAACACACACAACGUGUACAACACAUAACUCACGCAACACGUACAGUACAUAUAUCUCACACACAACACGAACAUUACAUAUAUCUCACACAACACGAACAGUACAUAUAACUCACACACAACACAAACAGUAUGCAUAACUCACACACAACAUGUACAGUACAUAACUCACAACAUGUACAGUACAUAUAACUCACACACAACAUGAACAGUACACAUAACUCACACACAACAUGUACAGUACACAUAACUCACAACACAUACAGUACAUAACUCACACAUGUACAGUACAUAUACCUCACACACAUGUAGAGUAUGCAUAACACAUGUGUGCAGUACAUAACUCACACAACACGCACAGUACAUAUAACUCACACAACACGUACAGUACACAUAACUCACACAACACAUACAGUACAUAUAACUCACACAACACGUACAGUACACAUAACACACACAACACAUACAGUACAUAACUCACACAGCAUGUACAGUACACAUAACACACACAACACGAACAGUACACAUAACUCACACAACACGAACAGUACAUAUAACUCACAAACAACAUGUACAGUACACACAACUCACAAACAACAUGUACAGUACACAUAACACACACAACACAUACAGUACACAUAACACACACAACACGUACAGUACACAUAGCUCACACACAACACAUACAGUACAUAUAACUCACAAACACAUACAGUACACAUAAUGCACACAACACGAACAGUACACAUAACUCACACACAACACGUACAGUGCAUAUAACUCACAAACAACACGUACAGUACACAUAACACACACAACACGUACAGUACACAUAACUCACACAACACAUACAGUACAUAUAACUCACACAACACGUACAGUACACAUAACACACACAACACAUACAGUACAUAACUCACACAGCAUGUACAGUACACAUAACACACACAACACGAACAGUACACAUAACUCACACAACACGAACAGUACAUAUAACUCACAAACAACAUGUACAGUACACACAACUCACAAACAACAUGUACAGUACACAUAACACACACAACACAUACAGUACACAUAACACACACAACACGUACAGUACACAUAGCUCACACACAACACAUACAGUACAUAUAACUCACAAACACAUACAGUACACAUAAUGCACACAACACGAACAGUACACAUAACUCACACACAACACGUACAGUGCAUAUAACUCACAAACAACACGUACAGUACACAUAACACACACAACACGUACAGUACACAUAACUCACAAACAACACGUACAGUAAACAUAACACACACAACACGAACAGUACACAUAACUCACACACAACACGAACAGUGCAUAUAACUCACAAACAACAUGUACAGUACACAUAACACACAGCACACACAGUACACAUAACUCACACACAACACAUACAGUACACAUAACUCACAAACAACACAUACAGUACACAUAACUCACAAACAACAUGUACAGUGCACAUAACACACACAACACGAACAGUACACAUAACUCACACACAACAUGAACAGUACACAUAACACACACAAGACAUACAGUACACAUAACACAUACAGUACAUAACACACAGAACACAUACAGAACACAUAAGACACAAACAAAAUGUACAGUACACAUAACUCACAAACAACACAUACAGUACAUAUAAUUCAUAAACAACACAUACAGUACACAUAACACACACAGCACGAACAGUACAUAUAACACACACAACAUGAACAGUACAUAACACACACACAACACAUACAGUACACAUAACACACACAACAUGAACAGUACACAUAACACAUACAGUAAUAUUAUAGAAUCAGGUUCACUAUCACUGGCAUAUGUCAUGAAAUUUGAUGUUUUACGGCAGCAGUAAAUUGUAAUAAUAAUAAUAAAUUACAAUAAGUAGAAAUUAAAAAAUUAAAUUAAAUUAAUAGUGCAAAAAGAGAGGGGAAAAUACUGAGGUAGUGUUCAUGGAUUCAUUGUCCAUUCAGAAAUCUGAUGGUGAGGGGAAGCAACUGUUCCUGAAACACUGAGUGUGUCUUCAGGCUCCUAUGCUGCAAUGAGAAGAGGGCAUGUCCUGGGUGAUACAAGUCCUUACUGACAGAUGCCACAAAUAAAUUACCGUAACAAAUAAUAGAUGCACUUAUGGCACAAGUUCUAAAGUAAACUGUGUAACACUAGUGGUGCUUCAUUCAUGGUGAGACCUAGCUGAUGGCAGGGAGUUCAGUAGUCUUAUGGCCUUGGGGAAGAAGUUGUUUUCCAUCCUAACCAUUCUUGUCCUAAUGCUACGGUACCUCCUGCCUGAUGGUAGGGCUGAAAGAGAUUGUUGAUAGAUGGGAGGGAUCACUGACAAUACUAAGG